AAGCAUAUCAAUAAGCGGAGGAAAAGAAACUAACAAGGAUUCCCCUAGUAACUGCGAGUGAAGCGGGAAGAGCUCAAAUUUGAAAUCUGGCGGUCUUUGACUGUCCGAGUUGUAAUCUAGAGAAGUGUUACCUGUGCUGGCCCGUGUAAAAGUCUCCUGGAAUGGAGCAUCAUAGAGGGUGAGAAUCCCGUCUUUGACAUGGACUACCAGUGCGUUGUGGUGUGCUCUCAAAGAGUCGAGUUGUUUGGGAAUGCAGCUCAAAAUGGGUGGUAAAUGCCAUCUAAAGCUAAAUAUUGGCGAGAGACCGAUAGCGAACAAGUACCGUGAGGGAAAGAUGAAAAGAACUUUGGAAAGAGAGUUAAACAGUACGUGAAAUUGCUGAAAGGGAAACGCUUGAAGUCAGUCACGUUGGCUGGAAAUCAGCCCUGCUUCUGCAUGGUGUACUUUCUGGUUUGACGGGUCAGCAUCGAUUUUGACCGCUGGAUAAAGUCUCUGGGAAUGUGGCAUCUUUGGAUGUGUUAUAGCCCUGGGUCGCAUACGGUGGUUGGGAUUGAGGAACUCAGCACGCCGCAAGGCCAGGUUUCGACCAUGUUCGUGCUUAGGAUGCUGGCAUAAUGGCUUUAAUCGACCCGUCUUGAAACACGGACCAAGGAGUCUAACAUGCCUGCGAGUGUUUGGGUGGAAAACCCAUGCGCGCAAUGAAAGUGAAAGUUGAGAUCCCUUCAAGGGGAGCAUUGACGCCUGGACCAGACCUUCUGUGACGGAUCCACGGUAGAGCAUGCAUGUUGGGACCCGAAAGAUGGUGAACUAUGCCUGAAUAGGGUGAAGCCAGAGGAAACUCUGGUGGAGGCUCGUAGCGAUUCUGACGUGCAAAUCGAUCGUCAAAUUUGGGUAUAGGGGCGAAAGACUAAUCGAACCAUCUAGUAGCUGGUUCCUGCCGAA
rnacentral:rRNA from 1 species